rnacentral:rRNA from 1 species
UACGUAGGGUGCGAGCGUUGUCCGGAAUUAUUGGCGUAAAGAGCUCGUAGGCGGUCUGUCGCGUCGGCUGUGAAAACCCGCAGCUCAACUGUGGCCUGCAGCCGAUACGGGCGGGCUAGGAUUCGGUAGGGGAGACUGGAAUUCCUGGAUGUAGCGGUGAAAUGCGCAGAUAGUCAGGAGGAACACCGGUGGCGGAAGGCG